GAGAAAUUAGCUCAAUUGGUAGAGCCUCCGUCUUACACACGGGUGGUUAAGUGUUCGAGUCACUUAUUUCUCA
rnacentral:tRNA from 1 species